ACUGAGCUAAAUCCCCAACCCCUCAGUGUGUUUUCUUAUAUAAACCAAGAGCAUCUGCUCAGGGGUGGUCUCACCCGUAACUGCUAGGCCUUCCACAUCAAUCUCGAAUCAGGAAAAUACACAUACAGUCUGGCAACCCGCAACGGAUGUCUCUCUCUCUCCCCAGGUAUCUCCAGCCGUGGCAAGUUAAAAAAACUCCCCAGCAUAGUCUGGAAACGAGGCGAAUUUCUCCGUGCUUACUCCUACGUCAGUGAUUUUGGUCUGGUUUAGUUAUUGCUACUCUAUAUGGCAAAUGCCUGAAUGACUGUUAGCGCCUGACAGGCUCUGAAUGCUUGAUGAGUCAACCGCAGUGUGUAACUGCCAACGAAGAAGUCAGGUUCUGGGGCGAGCCCUUCGAUAAGGGUUGUGGGGCGGGGCCUGGAACCAGAGUCCUGGGUGUCCAUAAACAACCUUGGGCCCUCAAGAGAAAGACAGAAAAAUUUGCCCAGGUAAAGAUGGGAUCUAAACCAAAUGGACGCUGGGAUUGUAUGGCCAUUGCCAUGACAACAGAUGCCCUGGUUCCUGUCACCUAUGCAUGAUGUCACCUCUGGGUUGAGGAGAAAGCUGGAUCCUAAUACCAACAACUGUUGUUUGGGGGUUGCCUGGAUACACAUAAAACGUUGCUGAAAGUAUCAACCCAAGGACAAGUCGUUGAUCCAUCAAGUCCAUGAUGGUGGCACCACAGCACACAGGAGUGGAGUUUCCUCUUUCAGUUCCCUUUAGCCCACAAUCAUCCUCCAGAUUCCAUUGACUUCUGCAGCGGCCACACAG
rnacentral:sRNA from 1 species